rnacentral:rRNA from 1 species
CAGGCCUAACACAUGCAAGUCGAGCGGUAGCACAGAGAGCUUGCUCUCGGGUGACGAGCGGCGGACGGGUGAGUAAUGUCUGGGAAACUGCCUGAUGGAGGGGGAUAACUACUGGAAACGGUAGCUAAUACCGCAUAACGUCGCAAGACCAAAGUGGGGGACCUUCGGGCCUCAUGCCAUCAGAUGUGCCCAGAUGGGAUUAGCUAGUAGGUGGGGUAAUGGCUCACCUAGGCGACGAUCCCUAGCUGGUCUGAGAGGAUGACCAGCCACACUGGAACUGAGACACGGUCCAGACUCCUACGGGAGGCAGCAGCGGGG